rnacentral:lncRNA from 1 species
UGUGAGCCGCUGUGCCCAGGCCAAUCCCAGAGAUUUUGAAGAUGAUUUCUCGAUACGAGUUUCACGAAGACUUGAAAAGAAUGUGUCCUCUGUUGUUGGAUGGAGUGUCCUUGAAAUGUUCAUUAGCCUUCUAGCUCCAUUCAGAAGAGCCUCCGAAGUAGAGACCAGAAAUCCUUCUAGUGGGCUGUGCUUUGAGCAGUACUGCUUGUUGACUGCUUUACUUGGAAGGAGAGAUCGACUGAGGUAAGGCUCUUACUAAUGCACGUGCUUUGCUAAUGGUUUGGCCAGAUGAUCAAAAAUGUGGAAGGGGUAAGAUUCAAGGAUUGGUGACAAGGAAGUUUAGAAUAACAGAGAUGUGGAUGGGCCUCCUAGAAUGACCAAAGAAUAUGAGAAUAUUUAUGUUUCAUGUGAACAUUCAUCAAGCUCCUAUUGGUAGUCAGGUAGACAGGUAGACAAGGUGGUCUACUUUGAGGAUGCUGAUUAAUCUCUUCCUCCAGUGACGCAGGGUUUGCUCAGUGGGCUCAUGGACAGAGUGGCCCUGAUGGCUCAGUGGAGGGCUUGGUAUAGGCUUAGCCACAUGGACUCACCAAGACUAACCUGGUUACAGCCGUUGUUGAAUGCCCAACAUUCUACAGCAGAAACCAACCCUGAGCUCCUGACUUGGUGCCAUACCGUGGGGGGACCAACCUGCUGCUUCAGGCCCGGGAAAGAAGUGGACAAGACUCUGCUCUCUUCAUGGAACCGAGUAUUCUAAGGACACAGCCAAGUCAGGAGACUACACCCCUAGUAUAAUAAGUCCUGUGGCUGUACUGAGAAGAGGUCCUGACUCAGAACUGGAGGACAUCAUGGAAGGCUUCCUGGAGGAAGUGCCAUCUAGGCUGAAACCUAAAGGAUGAGUAGAACUAACCAGAUGAAAAGCACUGGAUUUGACUCAUCCCUGCAUCCCCCGAGCACCUCGUGGGUGCCGUAAAGGCAGCUGGGUUGAUGAUGACUGAGUGAAGGAGCGCCUGAGUGGAUGAGCCACUGAGUGAAUGAACUGGAGUUCAUCUUCCACGUGGUCCUCAGCAUCCACUCUAGAAGCCAAAGCCAAGGGCACUGAUGGAGCUUACAAAUGUGAUGGCGGAGGCUUGAUCUACAUGAACUACUUUGCAUAAGUACUUUGAAGAAUCAUGGGGAAACGGAGAGGAGUCAGAAGACUGCAAAAGAGCAAAUGUGGCUUCAAUUUUCAAAAACAGGAUAAAGGAUAGAUUUAGAAAGUACAAAGCCUGAGGGAUCUAAAGCCUUGGGACUUCUGGAUCUGCAAGUGGUCCCUGUUUUGGUAGCUAUUGACUGACGAGGGGCUCUUCGGUAAGUUCUGGGGUGGCAGUGGAGGUGAUGAUGGGAGGGUGUUACAGGGCUCCACAGGCUCUUACAGGGCUCGGGAGCUUAUUUAAGGGAACACCUUGAUUGUCCAUGUGUCGUGGGCCAGAGAAGAAAGGCAGCACUGUGGAUCUUCUGGGAGGAAAGGAGAGGCGUCGAUUUCUGACUCCAGUUUUCUAUGAUCAGCACAGACUCUGUCCCACCUCCUCCCUACAGAGCUUCUGGAUCCUGGAGGAUGGAGAAUAGGCUAAAUUGCACAGGCCAGCUCCAGUCCAUUGGCAGGGCUGCCUAGAACAUGGCUGUGAUGAUCCCAAAGCUCAAUAGCAGAGAACCCUGUGGGGUGCUAGGAGUGUCUGCCAGGGUGCCGCAGGGAAAGGGGAGCAUGUGUGUAGAUGUAGAAAGCAUCUCUGCCAUCCCCUCCCCUAAAGAAUAUAUAACAUGGCCAUGCAGAAAAACACUUGUGAAAGGAGCUGCUGCCCUCAGGACAGCGUGUCAUUGAAAUGGGGGCUGAGCAACCCGUCAGAAGAGUGGGGAGGAGGGACCAUCCUCCAGCCCCUUCCCAGCUCUCUUCUGGAGCCAUAAGCCACAACACUGUCUAUGAAAAAGCUGAGGCCUAGAGCAGAAGGAGUGCAAAAUCCCAGCUACUGCAGGCCUACGCCCAGUGGUUCUCAAAGUGUUGUCCUCAGUCUAGCAGCAUCAGUGUCACCUGAAAACUGGUUAGACAUCCAGGUUCUCAGUUGUUAUCCAGCUCUAGCAGAUGGGAAACGCUGGGGGCGGGACCAGCCAUCUGUGUUUAACAAGCCCCACAGGUGACUGCUGUAGCCUUGAGUGAGGACCUCGGCCAAAAAGAAGGCUCCUACCGUGGCUGUUUGCUGAUGGUCUUCGCAGAGCCUGCUGUCUUUGAGCUUCCUGAGAGAGGGACACUACCCUCGCUUAGCCUGGCAGUGUUGCCCAGGAGGAGGCAGUGGAGUUAAGAAGCCUGGGUCUGAGCUCCUCAGCUGUGCAGACAACUCCUACUUGUUCUUCAACGCUCAACUUUAAGUUCAGUCACCACCUGCAGAAGUCUUCUCCAAAACCUCCCCACCUGGCUGACUAAGGGGCUGGCUUUAUGCUCUUGCAGUACUCAUGCUUCCUACUGUCACAGUUCUGACCACACCGUGGGAAAACGUCUCUAACUAGAGACCUGUCUUGCCUCUUGUGCCUGUAGUACGGGAUGGGUGCCCAGUGUGUGUUGAUUGUAUGAAUCAAUCUCUGUGACUCCAGAGUUCCUUUCUUCAGGAGAUUAGACAUCACCCCUGCAAUCAACAAUGCAAGCCACUGCUGUUUCCUCCAUCCUGAGCAUGAGGAACCUAUCCAGUUUCUCUCUCAGAUGCCAGGGCCAUGAGGCAAGUCCAGCCUUGGCCUAGAACCAAAGAUGGAAACAAAAAGGGGCCAGACUGUGUUGCCUUCUUGAGCCUGGUCUGACUCCUGAGUGGAAGUCUGAUUCCAGGUACAUGAGAUAAGCACUAAUACCUCCAGUUUGCAGAUUAAGAGACUGAGGUCCUGAAGAGGUUAAAGAACUUGGCUCAAGUCACAUAGCUGGUGAGCAGCAAGAUACAAGAAUCAACCCAAGUCCAGGGGGCUGUGUGCCGUUUACACUUCACAUCUGUGCUGCCAGGGCUGUAGCUAUAAAAGCUUGAAAACCAUUACUCUGAGAAUCUCUCUGUUGGGAAAAUGAGUCCCUUCAACUCUAGUUGUUGCCACUGGGAUGCUAACAGAAAGCAAAGUCUCAGAGGAAAGAUGUGGCAUUCCUGAGUGUCUUCCAUGUACCAGGACUUCUAUUUGCUAGCCACUUUAUGUUCCUCAUCCCAUCCUUCUGUGAGGGACAUACUUUUCAGAUGAGAAACGUAAGCUCCGCGAAGCUAAGGGGCCGGACUGAGGUCCCACAGCGAGAGUGUGGAGGAGCCAGGAUCCGAACCCCAUCGCCAGCCCUUGCCAGUUCCAUGAUUCCGGUGCCAGCGCUCGCCUGACCUCCAGGGCUGUCAUGGUGGGAAGGGACUGGAGGGCAUCUGCUGGGCAAAGGAAAGAGACAAACAUCAUCCCAGAGCCUGUCUUCCCUGGGCAAUACCCGGGCCACUCCAGACAUGGCGUCUUUAGCCCUUCCUUGGUCACUGGCCCCCAGGUGAAGAGAGCAUUUUUCUCUGACUCAAGUUCUUGCCUCUGGAUUUGCCAAGCUCCUAUGACAGUCUUCGCCCUUCUGAAGCUCUCUCAGGCUCCCCUUCCAGAAAUCCCGCAGGUUCCACCGACCUCUCUGAGAGCACAGGCGAGUGGUUGAACGGUGGGCUUUAGAGACGGCGCGGCACCAGAGUCCUGUACUGGCUGUGUGAUCCUGAACCUCCUCACUGAGAUUCUCAUCUGCAAGAUGGAGA